GACGAACGCUGGCGGCGUGCUUAACACAUGCAAGUCGAGCGGUAAGGCCCUUUCGGGGGUACGACGAGCGGCGAACGGGUGAGUAACACGUGGGUGACCUGCCCUCAGCUCUGGGAUAAGCCUGGGAAACCGGGUCUAAUACUGGAUAUGACUCCAUGACGCAUGUUGUGGGGUGGAAAGCCUUGUGCGGCUGAGGAUGGGCCCGCGGCCUAUCAGCUUGUUGGUGGGGUGAUGGCCUACCAAGGCGACGACGGGUAGCCGGCCUGAGAGGGCGACCGGCCACACUGGGACUGAGACACGGCCCAGACUCCUACGGGAGGCAGCAGUGGGGAAUCUUGCGCAAUGGGCGAAAGCCUGACGCAGCGACGCCGCGUGA
rnacentral:rRNA from 1 species